rnacentral:rRNA from 1 species
UACGAAGGGUGCAAGCGUUAAUCGGAAUUACUGGGCGUAAAGCGCGUGUAGGCGGUUCGGUAAGUCCGCUGUGAAAGUCGGGGGCUCAACCCUCGGAUGCCGGUGGAUACUGUCGGACUAGAGUGCGGAAGAGGCGAGUGGAAUUCCUGGUGUAGCGGUGAAAUGCGCAGAUAUCAGGAGGAACACCGAUUGCGAAGGCAGCUCGCUGGGACGUUACUGACGCUGAGACGCGAAAGCGUGGGGAGCAAACAGG